CACAUGACAAGUCGAAACGAGCUAACUUAAUGAGUAUUUCGUUCGGUAUUGUAUUAUUUUGUGACUGAGUGGCGGACGGGUGAGUAACGCGUGGGUAACCUGCCCCAGACCGGGGGAUAACAGUCGGAAACGACUGCUAAUACCGCAUAAGCGCACAGUGCCGCAUGGCACGGUGUGAAAAACUCCGGUGGUCUGGGAUGGACCCGCGUCCGAUUAGUUAGUUGGCGGGGUAACGGCCCACCAAGACCGCGAUCAGUAGCCGGCCUGAGAGGGUGAACGGCCACAUUGGGACUGAGACACGGCCCAAACUCCUACGGGAGGCAGCAGUGGGGAAUAUUGCACAAUGGGGGAAACCCUGAUGCAGCGACGCCGCGUGAGUGAUGAAGUAUUUCGGUAUGUAAAACUCUAUCAGCAGGGAAGAUAAUGACGGUACCUGACUAAGAAGCACCGGCUAAAUACGUG
rnacentral:rRNA from 1 species